rnacentral:tRNA from 1 species
GCCGGGAUAGCUCAGGGGUAGAGCAGCUGAUUUGUAAUCAGCCGGUCGUCCGUUCAAAUCGGAUUCCCGGCU